GAUGAACGCUAGCUACAGGCUUAACACAUGCAAGUCGAGGGGUAACGAGAGGAAAGCUUGCUUUCCUUGUCGACGACCGGCGCACGGGUGAGUAACGCGUAUCCAACCUGCCCCCAACUAAGGAAUAACCUUGCGAAAGUAAGACUAAUACCUUAUAAUUUCCUCAGAUGUCAUCUGACGAGGAAUAAAGAUUUAUCGGUUGUGGAUGGGGAUGCGUCUGAUUAGCUUGUUGGCGGGGUAACGGCCCACCAAGGCAACGAUCAGUAGGGGUUCUGAGAGGAAGGUCCCCCAGAUGGGAACUGAGACACGGUCCAAACUCCUACGGGAGGCAGCAGUGAGGAAUAUUGGUCAAUGGGCGGAAGCCUGAACCAGCCAAGUAGCGUGCAGGAUGACGGCCCUAUGGGUUGUAAACUGCUUUUAUACAGGAAUAAAGUUAGCCACGUGUGGUUAUUUGUAGGUACUGUAUGAAUAAGGACCGGCUAAUUCCGUGCCAGCCGCCGCCGUAA
rnacentral:rRNA from 1 species